UCUUCAUUAUUUUGUCUGCUACACUUGCUAAACUGUCCAGUAGGCCUAAGAUGCGCGCAUCGACAAUGACAUGAUAUGAUAAGACAAUAUUCGAUCACGUAGAUAAUUUUAUCAUUUUCCCUAACAUGGGACCAUCGAUAGAUAAGUCUAUCGACCCGCUAUCGCGUGAUAACCCAAUUGUUGCCAUAUUAAGAAAAAUUUGCGUUAUUAUGUUGGCCAACCUUGAAAUAUUUUAGCUCAUUCGUUCAAUCUCGUUCAUUUCUGCUAUUAAUUCGGCUAAAACACAUAUCUUAAAGCAGUGAGAACGUCAUUAAAAAAAAGUUAUGUCAAUUUUGUUGACAUUACAUGACUGCUUGAUUGUAUUUGUUUGUGUUUUUAAAAUUGUAUUUUUAUGUUUCCAGUCUAUUUUUAAUAUUUCUAAAGUACGGAAAAUAUCAAACGAAGAGAUAACCAAGUUAAAGAAAAACAAUGAAGAAUUCCUAAUCAUACCGAUAGUAUUAAAGAAUGAAGUCUUCAAAAUUAACAGAAUAACCGAACUCCACUACCUAUCCCAUAAUGCGAGGUUUACAGUAAUUAUUCAAGAAAAUUAACGAAGCAGUCAGAAAGUUUAUUGAGAUUUGAGAAAUAAAGUUACACUCAUAAGUAGCAAAACAGCGGAUGAAGAAGUGUGGGAUUAUGAGUGAUUAUUUCAUUCUAAAGCAGACAUAAGCAAGUCUUGCUCACUGUCAUGAAAAUUCACAAUAACAAUCAGCAAAAAACUUCAAGGAUACUGGCUAGGCUAACCAAUUCAUGGAAUUCUGUUAGUGUUUGAAAUUAUCAAUAGCUAUUGUAAAACAAAAGUUUUCCAAAUAAAGAUUUUGUAAAUAA